rnacentral:snoRNA from 1 species
UGUCCCUGACCUGGGUAGAGUGGCAUCUGGUUGGUGGUGCCCAUCUCAUAUCACCAGGGACAAAGUAACCCCUUGUUCAUCCCAACUUGGCUAAAAAAAAAAGGAAUACUCAUUUUAAGGGAUAACAGCAUGGCAGAAAAAGGGGCAAAUAA